rnacentral:rRNA from 1 species
AGAACGAACGCUGGCGGCAUGCCUAAUACAUGCAAGUCGAACGAACUCUUCGGAGUUAGUGGCGCACGGGUGCGUAACGCGUGGGAAUCUGCCCUUGGGUUCGGAAUAACAGUUGGAAACGACUGCUAAUACCGGAUGAUGACGAAAGUCCAAAGAUUUAUCGCCCAGGGAUGAGCCCGCGUAGGAUUAGCUAGUUGGUGAGGUAAAGGCUCACCAAGGCGACGAUCCUUAGCUGGUCUGAGAGGAUGAUCAGCCACACUGGGACUGAGACACGGCCCAGACUCCUACGGGAGGCAGCAGUAGGGAAUAUUGGACAAUGGGCGAAAGCCUGAUCCAGCAAUGCGCGUGAGUGAUGAAGGCCUUAGGUUGUAAAGCUCUUUUACCCGAGAUGAUAAUGACAGUAUCGGAAGAAUAAGCCCCGGCUAACUCCGCGCCAGCAGCCGC